rnacentral:snoRNA from 1 species
UCAGUAUCGCAGGUGUGGCUGCUGUGUCACAUGUCAGCAGAUGGCAGAGGGGAGAGAGGCCGUGUCUAGGCUCGGUGUGCUGACCUGUGAACAUCUGAAUGAUUAGUAACCUAACACU